rnacentral:sRNA from 1 species
AUUCUGCCCAUGCGGGGAAGGAUGAGAAGCUUCGACCAAGGUUCGACUCGAGCGCCAGCGAGAGAGCGUUGCCGCAGGCAC